GAUGAACGCUGACAGCAUGCUUAACACAUGCAAGUCUACUUUGGCGGACGGGUGAGUAACGCGUAAAGAACUUGCCUCACAGCUAGGGACAACAUUUGGAAACGAAUGCUAAUACCUGAUACUGUGAGAGAGCUUUGCGUCCCAUUAGCUAGUUGGAGAGGUAACGGCUCACCAAGGCGAGGAUGGGUAGCCGGACUGAGAGGGUGAUCGGACACAAGGGGACUGAGACACGGCCCUUACUCCUACGGGGGGCAGGAGUGGGGAAUAGUGGACAAUGGACCAAAGUCUGAUCCAGCAAUUCUGUGUGCACGAUGAAGUUUUCGGGAUGUAAAGUGCUUUCAGUUGGGAAGCGGUACCAACAGAAGAAGUGACGGCUAACUACGUGCCAGCAGCCGCGGUAAUUC
rnacentral:rRNA from 1 species